ACAUCUGUCGAUAGUUUCAGGCGUAGCUACUUUCAAUGUUGAGCUAUAAUUUUCAUGUUUUUUAAGGUUACCCAAACCCUUUUCGCAGACUUAUUGCUCAAAAACAUGAUUCGUUUGGCAAUGCCGAGAAUAUGGCCGUAGGUUACAACACUAAGAGUUUUGCUCGUUUUGUUCAUUUGCCAGCUGGCUUCGUUUUAGAGAAGGUGCCGGUUUCUUUCAGUCUGUGUGUGUUUUUAGGAUGUAGGCGUUCAAUUGGUUCUUUUGUGUUGUGAUUUUUGAUCUCUACAUUCUCUGAGUUAGAUCUUGACAGAAAAAGGAAUUGAAAAUAAUGGUGAAGUAGGAGACAUACAGGAAAAAAAAAUGCAGUCUGUUAUUUCAAGGGAGGAAUCUAAUAUACUCUUGCCCCCUUACUUGACGUCAACUAUGCUGUCUUCUUGGUCGAUGUCUAACAUUCGAUUGCAGCGGGCUGCUGAUCCCGUUGGAAGUAUUCUUCUAUUAGUCAGAUGGCUAACUAAGAGGCAUGCAUUGUACUAAACUGAAUGGCAGAAGUAGUUAGGUUCAUGAUGAGCUACCACGAAGGCUCGGGACACCAGGCAAUUGCAUUAUUUAUGGAUACCCAAAAGAAGAGUAGACAAGGAAUAAUUACGGCUACGAUUUCAUGUUCGGUGAUCCCGUAAUCCUUCAAGCUCUUGCGGAUGUAUGGAUUUUGAUCAAUUAUACCGAUGCGUAGGUAAAUGUAUGAUACAUUACCUAUAAAUUGCAGACGACCAGGACCUAGCAGACCCGUCAAUCCAAAAUCGGACACGGCCGAUUUUUUUAAUAUAAGGAUUUAUUAGACAUCAACGCAUUUAUCUUUUUUUGAUUUUCUAUUUUUACUUGAAUGAAGAAACAUCGUCUAACCUAAAGCCAAAAUCGCCGUACCACGAGUUCCACAGAAGAAUGGUGUUCACGUCAGUGUUCUCUAGAGUUGACAUUCCUACACGCUCACCAACACCCAGCUGACGAUAAUUGCCAUCAACGUCUCGUUUCGUACGCUGUUUCACGAAAAAAACAUUGAAUAAAUAGAAGAGCCACAACGGGUAGAUACCGCAGUGACGAUUCGGCCGAUGAAACAACGUUCGAAGUGUACGAAUGUGCAUUCUCGCUCUACAUCAUGUGCACGCAAAGCAUAGCCUGCGUUUAAUAGCUCAAACGCGUUCUUCUGGAAAUGGAACCAACAUCGGUUAACAUCGAUGGCUGUUGCCCUUCUAAACCAUGUUGAAAAACCUGGGUGCUACUGGUAUUCUUUUUCACUAUUAUUUAAUAGAAACCCCUGCUGAGAUUUCUAUUUUUAUAUUAUUACUUUUUAAAAGCUGCCCAGACUUCUUUUUUGUACAAUGUACACCAAAUUGCCUUCCACUGUUUAGUAGCCUAUGCUAAGAGGAAUAUGUCCAAUGUGGUGAAAGCGUAUGUUGGAAACACAAGCAAUUUGCAUUCUCUUAAUAUUGCAAUACAACA